rnacentral:lncRNA from 1 species
CCCAGUUCAACCCUUAGCAGCAGCCUCUACGUCUCAGACUAGACAGUCCUUCCUCCAAGAUGCCUGAGCCGUCCAGCGUGCGCUGUUAGCCUCAGCUCAGCCUUUAGCCAGUUUCCUUGGCAGCAGUUCUCUCAUCUCAGACAAACGUGGAUCCGGUUGGCCUGCCUUCCUGUCUGUCUCUCACUCGGAUGUAAGCUCCUUGAGUGCUAGGUCUGUGUGCCUGCGGUUUCUCCAGAGCUUGGUAAAGGACCACCCUCACCCGAGCCGCUGAUGACACCUGGACACCUGCAGAAGCCCCUCUCCGGUCUCCUGGUCUCCUCCCCUACGUGCCUCUCCCCUCCACAUCCAUUCUGCUCAUCUCUCACUCUCUCCCUUGGCACCCCCGUGGCUUCCUGUUGGACAUCUAGUCCCGCCGCCCGGUGGCUCAGUCUGAAACAAGCCCCACUCGCUGGCCUCAGGCCCCUGGCCUUUCUUCUCCCAGUUAGGCUCUCCCUCUUCCGUUCUCAUGGCUGGUCCCUGUGUCAUCCAGGUCUCAGCCCGAAUGUGGCCUCUUCAGAGGGCCCUCCCGGACCGCCUUAGAUCCUGCCACAGCAUUUUUUAUUCUGUGGACUUGCUCGCUCACUGCCCACCUCCCCUCCCCUUCCCACAAGAAGUCAGCCCCCGGAGUGCAGCUGUCAUGACAGCUGGCCUCGGGAUCCCGGGCCCGUGCCUGGCACACAGCAGGUGCUCAGGAGAUGCUUGCCGGGUGAAUGAAUGAGGCACCAGAGCGAUCUCCUAGCCACAAGCGUUCACAGUCUUAAAUGCACAAAGUCAGCGAUCAGUCCUGAGUGGUUCACUCUCCGGGGAUCUGAAGCCGACGACCUUGGACAGUCAUUUGACCUUUCUGAGCUGUGAUUUCCUCUUCUAUGAAAUAAAAAGUUGAACUAG